rnacentral:rRNA from 1 species
CCUACGGGAGGCAGCAGUGAGGAAUAUUGGUCAAUGGACGCAAGACUGAACCAGCCAUGCCGCGUGAGGGAAGACGGGUCUAUGAGUGGUAAACUGCUUUUGUACGGGGGAAAACGCAGGUACGCGUCUCCGGCUGAGAGUAUCGUAAGAAUAAGGAUCGGCUAACUCCGUGCCAGCAGCCGCGGUAAUACGGAGGAUGCGAGCGUUAUCCGGAUUUAUUGGGUUUAAAGGGUGCGUAGGCGGUCGGAUAAGUCAGAGGUGAAAGCCCGGGGCUCAACUGCGGAAUUGCCUCUGAUACUGUUAGGCUCGAGAGUAGUAGAGGUAGGCGGAAUGCAUGGUGUAGCGGUGAAAUGCUUAGAGAUCAUGCAGAACACCGAUUGCGAAGGCAGCUUACCGGGCUACUUCUGACGUUGAGGCACGAAAGCGUGGGGAGCGAACAGGAUUAGAUACCCGGGUAGUC